UGGAGGAAAGUAGGGGAUCGCAAGACCUUACGCUUUUGGAGCGGCCGAUGUCUGAUUAGCUUGUUGGUGAGGUAAAGGCUUACCAAGGCUUCGAUCAGUAGCUGGUCUGAGAGGACGACCAGCCACACUGGGACUGAGACACGGCCCAGACUCCUACGGGAGGCAGCAGUGGGGAAUUUUGGACAAUGGGGGAAACCCUGAUCCAGCCAUGCCGCGUGAGUGAAGAAGGCCUUCGGGUUGUAAAGCUCUUUCAGCCGGAACGAAACGGUUACGAUUAAUAUCUGUAACUACUGACGGUACCGGAAGAAGAAGCACCGGCUAACUACGUGCCAGCAGCCGCGGUAAUACGUAGGGUGCAAGCGUUAAUCGGAAUUACUGGGCGUAAAGCGUGCGCAGGUGGUUUUGUAAGUCAGAUGUGA
rnacentral:rRNA from 1 species